rnacentral:rRNA from 1 species
GACGAACGCUGGCGGCGUGCCUAAUACAUGCAAGUAGAACGCUGAAGAGAGGAGCUUGCUCUUCUUGGAUGAGUUGCGAACGGGUGAGUAACGCGUAUGUAACCUGCCUGGUAGCGGGGGAUAACUAUUGGAAACGAUAGCUAAUACCGCAUAAAAUGGAGUAUCGCAUGAUAGUCCAUUGAAAGUUGCAAAUGCAUCACUACCAGACGGACCUUCGUUGUAUUAGCUAGUUGGUGGGGUAACGGCUCACCAAGGCGACGAUACAUAGACGACCUGAGAGGGUGAUCAGCCACACUGGGACUGAGACACGGCCCAGACUCCUACGGGAGGCAGCAGUAGUGAAUCUUCGGCAAUGGACGGAAGUCUGACCGAGAAACGCCGCGUGAGGGAAGAAGGUUGUCGUAUCGGAAAGCUCUGUUGUAAGAGAAGAACGAGUGUGAGAGUGGAAAGUUCACACUGUGACGGUAUCUGACCAGAAAGGGACGGCUAACUACGUG